rnacentral:rRNA from 1 species
GUUAAAAAUCUAGCCUAAAAAUUAUUAAAUAUCACUACCACCUAAUAUAAUUAAAAAUAAAACAUUUUACCCUUAUAGUAGAGGCGAUCAAAAAAUAUCUAAGAGCUUCAGAAAAAGUACCGCAAGGGAAAGAUGAAAUAAAAAUGAAAUAAGCCAAAACAAAUUAAAGCAAAGAUUCUUCCUUGUACCUUUUGCAUCAUGGUCCAGCUAGUAUAAUCAAGCAAAACGAAAUUUUAGUUUGCACCCCCGAAACUAGGCGAGCUACUUCAAAACAGCCAAAAGGGCCAACCCGUCUCUGUAGCAAUAGAGUGGGAAGAUUUUCAAGUAGAAGUGAUAAGCCUAACGAGCCUAGAAAUAGCUGGUUAUUCAGAAAAAGAAUAUUAGUUCUACCUUAAAUCCUAUUAUGAUAUUAAACAAAUCCUCAGAUUUAAGAGCUAUUCAAUUAAGGCACAGCUUACUUGAAACAGGACACAACCUAUACUAUAGGGUAAAUACCAAUUAUUAUAUCAAGUGGGCCUGAAAGCAGCCACCUUUAAAAAAGCGUUGAAGCUUACUAUACCUUACCUAACAAAUACCAAAAAUCUAUAUGAACCCUUACCUAUUACUGAAUAAUUCCAUAACUAUAUGGAAAAUAUCCUGCUGGAACUAGUAACAAGAAUAUGAAUUUCUCUAAAAUGCAAAUGUGAACCAAAAUGGACCCCCCCGCUGGUAAUUAACGAAAGUGAACCAACUAUAGUAACCUAACAAGAAAAACCUAUAAAAUUUCUCGUCAACCUUACACUAGAGCAUUAACAGAAAGAUUAAAAGAGAAAGAAGGAACUCGGCAAAUCUUAAUCCCGCCUGUUUACCAAAAACAUCGCCUCUUGAUGAAUUAUAAGAGGUCUAGCCUGCCCAGUGAAAUAUUUAACGGCCGCGGUACCCUGACCGUGCGAAGGUAGCAUAAUCACUUGUUCUUUAAAUAGGGACUAGUAUCAACGGCACCACGAGGAUUACACUGUCUCCUUUCUCCAAUCAGUGAAACUGAUCUUCCCGUGAAGAAGCGGGGAUAUAACUAUAAGACGAGAAGACCCCAUGGAGCUUUAAAUUUCACAGCAACUCAGUCAAAUAAACCCUUAUAAGUCACAGAACUAUGCAUAACAAUUUUAGGUUGGGGUGACCGCGGAGUAAAAAUUAACCUCCACGACGAAUAGAACUAAACCUUUAUCCAAGAGCCACAACUCUAAGAAUUAGCACACUAACGAUUAAUGACCCGAUAAUCGAUCAACGGACCAAGUUACCCUGGGGAUAACAGCGCAAUCUACUUCAAGAGUCCAUAUCGACAAGUAGGCUUACGACCUCGAUGUUGGAUCAGGGUAUCCUAGUGGUGCAGCCGCUACUAAUGGUUCGUUUGUUCAACGAUUAAAACCCUACGUGAUCUGAGUUCAGACCGGAGCAAUCCAGGUCGGUUUCUAUCUAUAAAAUGUUAUUCCCAGUACGAAAGGAUCGGAAUAACAUGGCCAAUGAGUUGUUAAGCCAUUUUUAUACUAAUGACUUCAACUUAAUUAGGUACAAUACCAUCUACAAUUAAAGAUAAAUAAUCU